UACGUAGGGGGCUAGCGUUGUCCGGAUUUAUUGGGCGUAAAGAGCGUGUAGGCGGCCAGGUAGGUCUGCUGUGAAAACUCGAGGCUCAACCUCGAGACGUCGGCGGAAACCAUCUGGCUAGAGUCCGGAAGAGGAGAGUGGAAUUCCUGGUGUAGCGGUGAAAUGCGUAGAUAUCAAGUGGAACACCAGUGGCGAAGGCGAGUCCCUGGACAACUCCUGACACUGAGGCACGAAAGCUAGGGGAGCAAACAGG
rnacentral:rRNA from 1 species